rnacentral:rRNA from 15 species
AAAAGGAUAACAAAAUCAACACUAUUGACAUUAAGGUAAAGAGUUGGUUAAGAAGUGCAUACGUACGACGGGGUACUGCUUUCUGCUGGAAAGGGAGCCCUAAAGAGGGAAUGGAAGAUUA